GUGGGGAAUCUUGCGCAAUGGGCGAAAGCCUGACGCAGCCAUGCCGCGUGAAUGAUGAAGGUCUUAGGAUUGUAAAAUUCUUUCACCGGGGAAGAUAAUGACGGUACCCGGAGAAGAAGCCCCGGCUAACUUCGUGCCAGCAGCCGCGGUAAUACGAAGGGGGCUAGCGUUGCUCGGAUUUACUGGGCGUAAAGGGCGCGUAGGCGGACAGUUUAGUCAGAGGUGAAAGCCCGGGGCUCAACCCCGGAAUUGCCUUUGAUACUGGCUGUCUUGAGUUUGGGAGAGGUAUGCGGAACUCCGAGUGUAGAGGUGAAAUUCGUAGAUAUUCGGAAGAACACCAGUGGCGAAGGCGGCAUACUGGCCCAAUACUGACGCUGAGGCGCGAAAGCGUGGGGAGCAAACAGGAUUAGAAACCCUAGUAGUCC
rnacentral:rRNA from 1 species